rnacentral:lncRNA from 1 species
AUUCACCAAACUGGUACCGAAACGACCGCAAUCGAGUUAGUUUUCCACAUAAUGAAACUCCACUAAAUUUGGAGUUACAGAGAGAGAUUAAUUACUGUUUUAGUGANNNUACUGGUAUUUUCGUCAUUCCUCUCACCUUGUAGCUCAUUUUUUAAUACUAUUUACAUGUAUGGAAAUCUAACGAAAUUACCCUUGUUGGCAUUUCAAUUUCGUCGUAUUUGGAGUUACGAUGUGUUCGGUAGACGAUGUUGAAUUUGAAGAUCACAAGUAGAUUUCUGCAGAAUUAGUAAUUGGACAGACCUUCACUAAAACGGUAAUUAAUCUCUCUCUGUAACUCCAAAUUUAGUGGGGUUUGAUUCUGUGGAAAGAUAACUCGAUUACGGUCAUUUCUGAAGCCAUUUGGUGAAUUAUGGAUCCAAAUUGAGUUGUAUGCGAAGCUUUGAAGUUGUGACUCGAAAGCAGAUUUUUUGCAGAAUUUUGGGAGACAUACCUUCACUAAAACGGUAAUUAAUCUCUCUUUGUAACUCCAAAUUCAGCGGGGUUUGAUUA